rnacentral:rRNA from 1 species
UCGAGGAUCUUCGUCAAUGGGCGCAAGCCUGAACGAGCGACGCCGCGUGUGCGAUGAAGGCCUUCGGGUUGUAAAGCACUGUCGAGGGGGAGGAAAGCCGGGCAAAAGGCCUGACCUAUCCCUGGAGGAAGCACGGGCUAAGUUCGUGCCAGCAGCCGCGGUAAGACGAACCGUGCGAACGUUGUUCGGAAUCACUGGGCUUAAAGGGCGCGUAGGCGGCUCGCAUGGUCGGGGGUGAAAUCCCACGGCUCAACCGUGGAAGUGCCUCCGAUACCGGCGGGCUCGAGGAAGGUAGGGGUGCGCGGAACUUCUGGUGGAGCGGUGAAAUGCGUUGAUAUCAGAAGGAACGCCGGCGGCGAAAGCGGCGCACUGGACCUUUUCUGACGCUGAUGCGCGAAAGCCAGGGGAGCAAACGGGAUUAGAUACCCCCGUAGUCC